rnacentral:rRNA from 1 species
GACGAACGCUGGCGGCGUGCUUAACACAUGCAAGUCGAACGGCAACGCCCUGCUUUUUUGGGGUUCCCGAGUGGCGAACGGGUGAGGAACACGUGAGUAACCUGCCCUUGACUUUGGGAUAACUUCAGGAAACUGGGGCUAAUAUCGGAUAGGAGCCCCCCUUGGAUGGUGGGGGGUGGAAAGUUUCGGCGGUUGGGGAUGGACUCGCGGCUUAUCAGCUUGUUGGUGGGGUAGUGGCUUACCAAGGCUUUGACGGGUAGCCGGCCUGAGAGGGUGACCGGCCACAUUGGGACUGAGAUACGGCCCAGACUCCUACGGGAGGCAGCAGUGGGGAAUAUUGCACAAUGGGCGGAAGCCUGAUGCAGCAACGCCGCGUGCGGGAUGACGGCCUUCGGGUUGUAAACCGCUUUCGCCUGUGACGAAGCGUGAGUGACGGUAAUGGGUAAAGAAGCACCGGCUAACUACGUG